rnacentral:misc_RNA from 1 species
AAGUCGUAACAAGGUCUCCGUUGGUGAACCAGCGGAGGGAUCAUUAUGGAGUCUCUAACUCCUAAACCAUUUGUGAACCUAGUCUUACCAUUGUUUCGGCAGGUUGCUGCCAGUCUCUAUUGUGACUGUUGGUAGCCUGUCGGAUGUGCUUUAAAACCCUGGUUGUUGGUGUGUAGAUUCUCUGAGUCUCAAAAAACAAGUCAAAACUUUCAACAACGGAUCUCUUGGUUCUG